UACGGGGGGAGCAAGCGUUGUUCGGAUUUACUGGGCGUAAAGGGCGCGUAGGCGGCGUGACAAGUCACUUGUGAAAUCUCCGGGCUUAACCCGGAGCGGUCAAGUGAUACUGUCGUGCUAGAGUGCGGAAGGGGCUACUGGAAUUCUCGGUGUAGCGGUGAAAUGCGUAGAUAUCGAGAGGAACACCUGAGGCGAAGGCGGGUUGCUGGGCUGACACUGACGCUGAGGCGCGAAAGCCAGGGGAGCGAACGGG
rnacentral:rRNA from 1 species